ACAACAACAGACAGGAAAAGUAACGUGUCAGACGUGGAUUUGUGACAUUUUUUUAACUACAAAAAUUAUUGUAGAAAGAUUGUUAUUUGUGUUUCAGAAAAAAAAAGAUUGUUAGUAUUUGUAAAGGAUAACAGUCAUACCGUAACUGGCUGUUGGAAAACAGUGGAUUGCACAAAUAGAUUAGGCUUAUCGCUAAUUUUUUAUAAGCUUUUAGGAAAAUGUAAUGCAUUAAUGGAAUAAGCUAACUUUAGGGAAAUUCUAUUUUCUAGAUCUGUAAUCGACGUAGGCAGAAGAUGCUUUGCUAUUGACCUAUUGUGCUAACACAAUUAUUGGCCAACAACGAUAGUUUUUGUUGUUGUUAUGAAUGCAACUACAAACAACAACAAGGCGAAAUAUUUAUAAAUUACUCGAAACAGUAUCGUCCACUAAUAUCCUUUUUAUUAAUAUGGACAUGAAAUUAUUUACUCUCGUUUUAUAUAUCUUUUUCUUUGUCAUCAAAAUAAAAUCUUAUCAGCAAAGUAAAUAAUUGUGAUAUCAAAUGAAAAUUGUAUAUUUAAACGAUAUGAAUUGUAUAACAAAUAUGAUAUAAAAAGCAACCAAAAAUGGAAAAAAGUAUCAUCCUUCUUCCGGCUAAUUAACUAAUCUCAACAAUAUGUACUUAUGUAUCAAUUAAUUGUGAUUGGUUAGUCAAAAUAAGGAUGAUUACUUAUUUAAUAUUAUUAAAUAUUAGAUGAACCUUAUAACCAUUUCUAGAUGUUUUCUAACAUUUGUUCUUAUCACUUUAUCUAUUUCUUCACUUCAUUCCUAUAAAAUGUGAUUUAUUUCUUUUAUACUUAAAAAGAACAAGAUCAUAUAAAAUAACUAAUGAACUAAAAUAGAAAAUGAAAGAUUGGUAGAGAAUGAAGUGUCGAUAUUUUAUUUGAUAUACAUUGCUAUCUUUUUCUUUAUAUUCUUUUCUCUUAUUAUAUGUGAAAUAACAAUUUAAACCAUAUGGGUUAUAAGUUACAAGUACAAUAAUAUGGGCUGAAUUCUUUACUUAAUGCAAAAGUCUACAAUUUGGGUGAUUAUUAUAAAAAUUAUUGAUAGCAAAUUCCGAAAGAAAAAAGGGACACUAUAAAUAGCGAAGUUAUUGAUAUGUGAUUUUGAUGUAUACUUAAUCACAAGAAAAUGGCGUCAAAAGCAAUUUCCAUGUUCCUCCUUUCGCUCGUUCUUCUUUAUGCAUCGUUGGCAAACAUACCGACCGCAAAGACCGCAAAAGCUCAGUCUUUUAUGUUUGACCCAUGCAAGAUAUCAGAAGAAUGUGAUGCCGCCAAUUGCGCAAGCGGGGAAGCUCUAUGCAUAAGGGAACAAUGCCAUUGCAUCAGUUCAUCAAAUCAUCUUGCGAAACUUAACAAACUAAGUGAUUUAAAUCCAUGCAAGGUGAAGAGUGAUAUAUAGAUAUAGUGAUUAUCAUUCUCUUAUGCUGUUGAAAUGUCCCUUAGUGUCUUAUUUGUGUUUUGAUGGCCUUUGUUCUAUAUACUAUAAACAUUCUUAGAUCUUAGGAGGAAUUUGUCAUCUUGCAAUAAUGGCAAAGAGAUUCAGAUA